rnacentral:rRNA from 1 species
UGGUGGGUAGUUUGACUGGGGCGGUCUCCUCCUAAAGAGUAACGGAGGAGCACGAAGGUUGGCUAAUCCUGGUCGGACAUCAGGAGGUUAGUGCAAUGGCAUAAGCCAGCUUGACUGCGAGCGUGACGGCGCGAGCAGGUGCGAAAGCAGGUCAUAGUGAUCCGGUGGUUCUGAAUGGAAGGGCCAUCGCUCAACGGAUAAAAGGUACUCCGGGGAUAACAGGCUGAUACCGCCCAAGAGUUCAUAUCGACGGCGGUGUUUGGCACCUCGAUGUCGGCUCAUCACAUCCUGGGGCUGAAGUAGGUCCCAAGGGUAUGGCUGUUCGCCAUUUAAAGUGGUACGCGAGCUGGGUUUAGAACGUCGUGAGACAGUUCGGUCCCUAU